UGAACAUAGUUUAACAAAAACCCUGGGCAGUGGCCCCAAAAAUAAAGCAUUUUCUUUUGUUCACC
rnacentral:tRNA from 1 species